UUUCCAAUAUCAAACUAGUUCAAUCAGCUAACAAUACUAUUACUACAUCAAGCAAAAAUCAAAUUUUUUUCUAGUUACUAAUGAUGUUUCAUAGAGUAAAGUAAUACAAUUCAAAUUAACAUUCUAACACUCAAAAUAGUAUAAUUCCAAGAUAUCAAAGACCCCCCCACAUAAAAGAGCAGCAAGAAUUUGCAGUCAUGGAUGACUGUCUUUCUGUAGUCCAUGUUGUUCAACAAUUUUAAUCUCUUGCAGCAUAUCUGCUUUUGAUGCCUUUAGCACUUGUCGUAUCCCAAAACUUUCUUCUUCUGUUUUAUUCUCAGUUGGUGUUUUCUUGAGAACAAGUUAUCCCACCCGAGCGAACUUGUCCAUAAAUUUAUAUUCCCAGUCUUGCAGAAUUUUAAGUUGAGCGUCACUAAGGCCUUCAAGGCUCCCAUUAAAAUCUUCAAGUUUGAAUGAUAACUGAGCUAAGGCUCGGCUUGCAUCUCUUCCAGCAAGCAUUGCAUAUGAACCACCAGGACUAUAGAACAUCUUGGAGGUAGAGACAUCGUAGAUCUUUUCUUUGAUAGCCAUCAACAAUGGUUUUUCUGAGUCAGAGCCAUUAUAAGCUCUAAGUUCCUCUUCCGGCAUGUCACCGAGGUGGAGAGACUAUCUUUUGAUGGGAACAAAGUCAUCAGCAGAGAAGAACAUGCCACAAACAACUUUGUAAGUCACAACCAUCAACGCUACAGUGGUGAAGAACGUUGUCGGCCAUAACCCCGUGUACUGCAAGAUAAUCUCUGUCAUUGUCGUCCAUACCGCCGUCGUCAUUCUUCUCUUUUUAGCUUGAUGGAGAAAGAGGAAAAAAUAAGUUGAAAUGUCUAUCAAAUUUUGAGCUGCAAUGCACUCCUAUACUUACUACUAUAAUUAGCUAACAAUACUAUUACUACAUCAAGCAAAAAUCAAAUCUUUUUCUAGUUACAAAUGAUGUUUCAUAUAGUAAAUGACCUACCAUAGUAAAACAAUUCAAAUUCACAUUUUAACACACAAAAUAGUAUUAUUUCAAGAUAUCAAAGACUCACCACAUAAAAGAGCAGCAAGAAUUUGCAGUCUACUCUCCUGCAGCAUAUCUACUUUUGAUGCUUUCAGCACUUGUCCUAUCCCAAACACUUUCUUCUUCUGUUUUAUUCUCAAUUAGUGUUUUCUUUAAAAAAAGUUGUCCCACCCAGGCGUACUUGUUCAUAAAUUUAUAUUCCCAGUCUUGCAGAAUUUCAAGUUGAGCGUCACUAAGGCCAUCAAGGCUCCCAUUAAAAUAUUCAGGUUUGAAUGACAACUGAGCCAAGGCUCGACUUGCAUCUCUUCCAACAAACAUUGCAUAUGAACCACCAGGACCAUAGAACAUCUUAGAGGUAGAGACAUCGUAGAUCUUUCCUUUGAUAGCCAUCAACAAUGGUUUUCUGACUAAGAGCCAUUAUAAGCUCUAAGUUCCUCUUCCGUCAUGUCACCGAGGUGGAGAGGUUAUCUUUUGAUGGGAACAAAGUCAUCAGCAGAGAAGAACAUGCCACAAACAACUUUGUAAGUCACAACCAUCAACGCUACAGUAGUGAAGAACGUUGUUGGCCAUAACCCCGUGUACUGUAAGAUGAUAUCUGUCAUUGUCGUCCAUACCGCCGCCGUCAUUCUUCUCCUUUUAGUUUGGUGGAGAAAGAGGAAAAAAUGAGUUGGAAUGCCUACCAACUCUUGAGCUGCAAUGCACUCCUAUACUUACUACUACACUACAACCAAUCAAAUACUUUUCCAAUAGCAAACUAGUUGAAUCAGCUAACAAUACUAUUACUACAUCAAGCAAAAAUCAAAUCUUUCUCUAGUUACUAAUGAUGUUUCAUAUAGUAAAUGACUUACCAAAGUAAUACAAUUCAAAUUAACAUUUUAACACACAAAAUAAUAUAAUUCCAAGAUAUCAAAGACCCUCCACAUAAAAGAGCAGCAAAAAUCUGCAGUCAUGGGUGGCUGUCUUUCUGUAGUCCAUGUUCUUCAACAAUUCUACUCUCCUGCAACAUAUCUGCUUUAGAUUCCUUCAGCACUUGUCCUAUCCCAAACACUUUCUUCUUCUGUUUUAUUCUCAGUUGGUGUUUUCUUUGGAACGAGUUGUCCCACCCAACCAUACUUAUCCAUAAAUUUAUAUUUCCAGUCUUGCAGAAUUUCAAGUUAAGCGUCACUAAGGCCUUCGAGGCUCCCAUUAAAAUCUUCAGGUUUGAAUAUAACUGAGUUAAGGCUCAGCUUACAUCUCUUCUAACAAACAUUGCAUAUGAACCACCAGUACCAUAGAACAUCUUGGAGGUAGAGACAUCGUAGAUCUUUCCUUUGAUAGCCAUCAAAAAUGGUUUUUCUGAGUCAAAGCCAUUAUAAGCUCUAAGUUCCUCUUUCGUCAUGUCACCAAGGUUGGGAGACUGUCUUUUGAUGGGAACAAAGUCAUCACCAGAGAAGAACAUGCCACAAACAACUUUGUAAGUCACAACCAUGCUACGAUGGUGAAGAACGCUGUCGACCAUAACCUCGUGUACUGCAAAAUGAUCUCUGCCGUUGUCGUCCAUACCGCCGUCGUCAUUCUUCUCUUUUUAGUUUGGUGGAGAAAGAUGAAAAAUGAGUUGGAAUGCCUACCAACUAAGUUUUGAAAACACUUUUAAAAAACAUUUUUUUUUGAGUCUAUCCAAACGAGCUCUAUAUCCUGAAAUAUAAAUAAUCAUUGUAAAUUUACUUUAUGCCUUAGUAUUCCAAAAUUCAGAAGCUUCAACCAUAAAUCGCACCCCAUACAGUCGGUAGAGUUUACAAAAAUGUCAGUUGCUAUCAACUUAAAAUUAUGAAAAUCGAAUUAACCUGAGAAAUUAGACUUUUAAAUCGAAGUCCAUGUUUAUAUCCUGAUAUAUUGCUUCUAGCCCCAUAAUGUUUUAUCCAGAGUUGAUUCCUAUCAUUAUUAUUUAGUGUUCUUUUUGGCCAUUCUACGUGCCAAUACAUUCCACAUAUUAAUCGUGAUCGUCCUUGAGCAACUAUAUCACCUCAUUUUACUUAUUGACCAUCCUUGAGCGACUAUAUCAUCUGCUAAUGUAAGUUCGAAGACACAUUCUCGCACUCCAGUGAAGCACUAGAAAUGUGCAAAUACCAUCCGAAUUGGUGAGCCUAUCAAUGAUGAUGUUUAGUUACUUACAGUCAAAAUAUUGCCAAGGUCUUGUCACGACUUAGACAAAUCUUAUUUUGCUAGAAACUUCGUAGACUGGAUUUUAAAAAAUAUUUGUUAUAAUGUUUUAUUCAAAGUGAGAAUUCUAUUUCAUUUAGUUUAAAAGACUUUCCUUGAUUUUCAUUGUACUUCCACACUUGAAGUCAGAUUACACCUUCCUGAUCCGACAUGCCCAUUGCGGUCAGAACCUCAGCUCGAAUCCUGACACCUAUCAAGUUUACAUAAAAACCAACCAUUUGUGCAAAGGACAGACUAUAUAAAAUUGAAAGUAAUUAUCUUUUUCAUGUGUAUACUAAUAAAUGUUGUAUUGUCCUAACUUUUGUGUGCAGACAUACAAGAUAACUUUUGGUCUCAUAUGUCCCAAGUGAAAUUAAACAUGGUAAGAAGUUUAGAUUGCAAGUUCAAGACCCAUCAAUUUACAAAAAGCUAAACAUAAUCAUGUUAAAGAUGAUGGCAACUUGUCAAACUCCAGAAUCAAUACACAUCCAACCCAACAUUGUAGAAUUUGUGAUCCUUCAAUUAUUAUUCAUGCAAACACAACUUCAUAAAUUAAAUUAGUAAGAGAGUAUGUAUCAUUGUUUACUGAACCGUUCCAUCAUGAGGGGUCAAGUGGUUCACCCAAUAACAAUGCAAUUAUAAUAUCCCUGAAGUUUACGAGAGAUCCAUUCACAAAUUAAGGCAAUAGAUCCCUGCUUUUUUCAUCAGGUUUUGUAAAUCUAUAUCAAAAAAAAAAAAAGAACUAGUACUACAUUGAGAAUACGAAGCUCAGAAGCUGAGCGUAACAAGCAAAUUUCAUCGAAGAUCCAAGCUUUAAAUAGAUCUCCUUACAUGUUGGCACCUCAUCACCGCAAAACAAUUUGAUAGUUAAAACAAUUUGGCUACUUUAAAUUUGAAGGAAUGUUGGGGGUAAACAACAACAUCCUCCAAUCGUGAUAAGUAGCAACGUAUAGGCACCGUGCAAAAGGUAAUUUCUUACGGGAAUAAGAAGAAAGUACCUGUUGUCUGAGAAAUGCCAUAUACAAAAUAGAGCAACAAAUACAAAUAUAUCCAAGAUAUUGUGUCAAGAGAGUAUACAAUAACUCAAAUGGAUCUUCAUAUUGUAUAUUAAUUCAUUUAGGCUUCAUGCUGCAGACGGGUUACCAUUAACCGGCACCGGCUGCAGACUCUUUUUUGAAGCCCAGUCAUUAAAGGAUUUCACAAUGCAGAUCUUUUUAAACAAUUUUUCUCACAAUAAUGUUUACUUUGAAGAACAAAAUGACACUAAGUGAACCAAUCAAAAACUACUGAGUUUUGUAUUUACUCUAAUAAAAUGGAUUUAGAGAUUACAAGUAACAUAGAUUCAUCUAUUAAAUGUUUACUCAAAUUCACUUUGUGAACUAAAAAAUUCUUUUGUACUGCAAGUCCGCAGGUGCAAACUAAAAUAUUAAACUACUUUAUAUUUGCAAUUUAUCAACAAUAUUAGCAAGAGUUUUUCCAAUGUAAAAUCAUACGACAACAACAACAUACCCAGUAUACUCCCAACAUACCAAGGUCUGUGGAGGGCAAGUAAAGUGCACACAGUCCAUACCACUACCUCCAAAGAAUUAGAGAGACUGUUUCCGAUAGAUCCAUAGCUCGAGACAAAAGAAACAAUAAACAAAGCCAAAAUAAAACAUAAAACAAGAUGAAAUGAAAGAAAUAAGACACCAACAGAGCAACUAUACACUAUUUAACCAAAAGCACACACCACACCCAAACCUCCAAUCUAAGAGCAUAGCUCUACAAUUACUAGCAUGACUACACCAAAGCAAUUCUAUCUACUAGCUACAACACACUCCCACAAACUAGCCCUCUAACCUAAUUCGCGUACUUCAUACCUUCCUAUCUACGGUCAUGUCCUUAAUAAGCUGUAAUUGCUCAAUGUCAUGUCCAAUCACCUCCCUCCAUUGUAAAUUCAUGCAAAGUACAUAUGUUGAUGAUCCAAGUUUUUAACACUAUUCUCCCGUAUGGGCAAAUACAACUAGCCAAAAUGCUAAUUGGAAUUAUUCUCCACUUGUGCUAUAAUUCAACAAAAAAGAGCUUAACAUACCCUUGACCAAUUCAAAUUGGGACAAAAUUACCCUCCAUCACAUCUAUUAGACCUCAAAUAUUCAUUAAUAUUAUUAGAAAUCAUAAUUUGUAAAACAAUCAGCAUACAAAAUGCUUAGGAACAGAGAAAUAACAAAGCUGCUCAGAUAUUGCAAUUAACUAAUCAUGUAUUUAACAUAAGUCCAGACAUAAUUUUAGCAAAUUCAUCACUGCAACCAGAUAAAACUACAAAACUUAAUUAAUAAAUACCAAAAUUUGUUAGUAAUAAAUAAGAGUAGCAAUCAACUCUCAGAGAAAUUCCAUAAAUGGAAGUUUGUGCAGACAAUCAACAUGGCAUCGUUUGAAUCGUGUGAAAUGUACAAGCACAUACUUUAAUGGAGGUCCACUAGAGAAACGCACGAACUACUUACAUCGCAUUUGUUUCUCUGAAUUAAAGAGUGUACAGAUAGAGCAGCAAGAAUCUGCAGUCAUGGGUGGCUGUCUUUCUGUACUCGAUGUUCUUCAACAAUUCUACUCUCCUGCAGCAUAUCUGCUUUUGAUGCCUUCAGCACUAGUCCUAUCCCAAACACUUUCUUCUUCUGCUUUAUUCUCAGUUGGUGUUUUCUUUGGAACAAGCUGUCCCACCUGGGCAUACUUGUCCAUAAAUUUAUAUUCCCAGUCUUGCAGAAUUUCAAGUUGAGCAUCACUUAGGCCUUCAAGGUUCCCAUUAAUAUCUUCAGGUUUGAAUGAUAACUGAGCUAAGGCUCGGCUUGCAUCUCUUCCAGCAAACAUUGCAUAUGAACCACCAGGACCAUAGAACAUCUUGGAGGUAGAGACAUCGUAGAUCUUUCCUUUGAUAGCCAUCAACAAUGGUUUUUCUGAGUCAGAGCCAUUAUAAGCUCUAAGUUCCUCUUCCGUCAUGUUGCCGAGGUGGAGAGGCUGUCUUUUGAUGGGAACAAAGUCAUCAGCAGAGAAGAACAUGCCACAAACAACUUUGUAAGUCACAACCAUCAACGCUACAAUGGUGAAGAACGCUGUCGGCCAUAACCCCGUGUACUGCAAGAUGAUCUCAGUCAUUG
rnacentral:lncRNA from 1 species